AGGGCUAGCCUAGAAGCUUAACUGGGGUCGGGCCGGGGAGCUUUGAGGCUCGGGGCAGUUAGCUUGCUUCCUGCUCAGCCUCCGGAGAGUCAGAGCUGGCACUGACCCGGAACUGUGUGACCUCCACACUUCAAAGGAGACCUGAACAGCAGGACUUUCCUCAAAGGCAGUCAUUUCCACCCAGAUCUCGUCCUCCCAACCUCGCCCUGCCGCCACUUUCCCAUAGUCCCAGCCUCAGUGUAUAUAUAUGCAUAUAUAUAAUAUUAUAUAUAAAUAUAUUAAAUAUGUUCCCAUCCACAUAUAAAAUAUGUAUAUUAAAGAUAUGGGUGGGAAUGGGGAACGAGAGAGAGAGAUCCCUCACCUGCUGGUUCACUCCCCAAACGCCCCAGACACCGGGUGCUGGGCUCUGGGCCAGGCAGAAGCCAGGAGCCUGCUACUCUGAGUGCCCCACCUGGGUGGCAGGGACCCAAGUACUUGGGCAACCACUUGCUGCCUCCCAAGUUGCCCAUUAGCAGGAAGCUAGAACCAGGGGUAGAACUGGAACCUCUGACAGACCGCGGGCAUCCCAGCCCUGUGGUUUAACUGCUACAGCAAAAGCCCGCCUCUCAGCUCAGGGUGAGUGAACGGGGCCCCUAAGGGAGGCGCUUCAACUCUGAGGACGGUCAGGCUGCCCUCCCUCCCUGGGCAGUCUCCCAGCACACCCUCCUGGACCCCAGACUCCCACUGACAGGACUGCCCUGCUCACGGCUGCAGGUGACAUGUGCUGUCUUGCAACCAAGGAGGCUGUCCAGGUGUCGGCUGGCAAGAGCGACAGGGAGUGACAUUGUACCGGGUGACUUCUGAGCCACCUCCAGACCCAGGAACCCAGUCUGCCAAGGAAGGGGCUUUCAGCAAGGUAGCUGCAAUGGCCAGAGCUGUGCUGAUCCGGAGCCAGGAGCCAGGAGCCAGGAGCCAGGAGAUUCCUCCAGGUCUCCCACGCAGGUGCAGGGGCCCAAGGAGUUGAGCCAUUUUCUACUGCUUUCCCAGGCCAUAACAGAGAGCUGGAUUGGAAGAGGAGCAGCCGGGACUAGAACCUGCACCCAUAUGGGAUGCCAACGCCUCAGGCCAGGACUUUAACCCACUGCACCACAGCUCCUGCAACGACAAAUGGAUAUUCUAACUUCUGCCUGCAACAGCUCCCUAGUUAACUUCCAGUCUGCAGACCCAUUUUAUUCACUUCAGGGGUGAUGGUUGAAGGCAGGUUUCUCUAGGCCCAAACUCUCAAGAGAAAGCCCCCUGACUCUCUCCUGGUCACUCAUCUGCCCCCCCCCCCCCCCCCCCCCCCCGCCUAUGUGUCUCCAGGGCUGGUGGGAGGCCUUUUGAAAACAGCAGCACUGCCCAUAGCCCCAGGUGCUGGACAGGGGGCUGGUGGAGACAGGGUCGCCCGGAGUGGCUGUGCCUUCCUGUCUGCAGGGCCACCUGAUGCAAGGCUGGGCAAAGUGCAACAGAGCUGGAGGGAUUGACUCCAGGAGAGACGUGUGCCUGCUCCAAGACCCUGCCCCAUAGGGCCUGCCCUUCCCCCUAGACCUUUCCGGACCUUCUCUGAUGUCACUGAAGUGUUAGAUUGCAGGGGGUUAACCAAAUUCUAAGUGGGACACACCUACUUUCUUGGUUUAUCUGAUUGUCCCAGUAGCCUCAGUUCCCCUUUGUACUGUCACAGAGAAGGUGGGGUCUCAUUGCCAGGGUUCCGGAGCCCUGUACCCUCUUGUCACAGUGAACUCCUGUCCUGGCUUCCCAGGGCAAGGUCCUGGACAGAGGUGGGCUGGGCUGAGGGCUGGGGAGGGGGAGGGGCUUCUCUGUAGAGGGUCCUGGGAAACCUCAGCCAAGCUUCAGAGCGUGUGUUCACCAUCCCAACGGUACGCUUUUAGGCACAUGACCUCUCCACUCUGCUUCCGUGUUAAAGUGCAGGUAACAACAGUAUCUAUGGAGCAGGUUACUUACUGCGAGGACUCAGUGAGGUAUUGCGCAGUGUUCGGUGCCUGAAACAAGGGGAGCACCCAGUAAAUUUCACUCUGACCGUCAUCAACCUGUCCUCCAAACCUGUGCAUCCGUCAGCCUCUGCAACCCCAGCUGGAAACCUGGGGUCCCCACACCUCUUCCUCCCCAUCGUGGGCCCCUCCCUCCAUCCUGAGGGCCCAUGGCUCCGCCCCUCCCAAGUAUUUGUUAGCCUUUUUUUUUCCUCUCUCUCUAUUCCUGCUGCUGUCUCUGGGCAAGCUGGGGACUGGCUCCUCUCAGCCUCUCUCACUGUAUAGCCCCCCAAUCCACACCACACCCAGCUCCCCUAGAAAACGCGGAUUUGAUUCUGUCUCAUCCCUAUCCUGUCUCCAAGGAAUGAUUCAUUCAGGGGUUUCCCCCGACCCCUGCCUGCCUGCCCGUCCUAGCUGGGCACACACAGGACUUGAGACCGGCUCCUGUCGGUCCUCUACGCUCUCCACUCUCACCAGCGCUGCUGCCAGGAGGCACCGAGUGCCUGGGAGCCGGCCCGUGCCUUUGCAGUCUUUGCACGAGCAGUGCCCGCAGGCUGGCCUGGCUUGGCAGGGCACCUCCUGGGCCCCCCAGACACAGCUCAAGCACUGCUCCUCCUCUGAGCCUCCCAGGCCCCGUUCGGGUGUAGCUGCUUCUCCGGCUGUUCCCCGUUGCAGUGUAAGCCCCUCCAGGGCAGGCGCCGUCUUGUUUUCUGUGCACCCCCGAUGCCACUCACAGAGCCUGGCACACAGCCUGCCCACAGGAGCCAGGCCCUGCGCAUGCCUGCCCUGGGCAAUUUCUCUACCACCCAGGGUGCCGGCAUUCCAGACCUGGAGUGGGGCCUGCUCUGUGCCCUGCCUGCCACCCCCCAAGAGUCAGAUCUACAAGAAAACAGGACGGAAGCCAACCAAGGCUUGGUAAAACACAUCUCGCCCAGGGAAUCCUGCGGUAGCCCACCAAGCCGGCAAGGGCUGCUGGGCGGGGGAACCCACGCCUUCCCACCCCGACAGUGAAGGCAGGGGAGUGGGCCAGGAUGCCCACGCAUCUCCCCCAAGGUCCUGGGUGGCCACGUGACCCGCGUCUCCCGGGGGCCACCUAGCCCAGGCACCAGCCCUUCUCCUAAAUAGGGAAGCGACAGGGACAGAUCGGGUUUCGCCGUCGAUAUUUACAGGUUCCCUGGCCGAAGCCAAACCUCUCUCCUCCUCCCUCGCUCCUCCCUGUCUCCGGGCCCCAGGAAAGGAAAGAAGGGGCCCCUUCUGCGCCCUAUUCCCAGUUCUCCGGACGCUGGCUGCAGCCCCUCCCACCGCCGCCACCGCCCCUCUGGGGCGCUCGGAGGUCACAGCAUUCCGAAGCCCAGGAGGCCCUCGGAGAUCUGGGGCCGCUGUCGGGGCGGGGAGGCAAGGCACCCCUGACUCGGGGCUGGAGACCUUGAGGCCUUGCAGCCAUGAAAACUCUGGUUCCUCCCGGGACCUGCCGGGGUCCGGCUUCGUUUUGGCCUUGCUAACUCUGGAGGGAGGCCCUGCAGUGCCUACUGCGUGUAGGGGCCGGCCCUGGGGCUGGGUGCCCAGGCUCCUUGUCCCCAGUCCUCCCUGCCCCUCGGGCCCAGGCCACAUCCCUUUGCCGCUGGAAGUCGCUGGCUGGGAGUCAGCAGGGCAUGCCGGCCUGAAGGGCUUGGACUCCCAGCUCUUGGCCUGUGAAAUGAGCAGGGCAGUGAGAAGACUGGGCAGGGCAAUCCAGGGCCAAGUCCACAGCUAAGGGAGUCCCCUCUGAAGCCUGGAUCCCUGACCUCUGAAAGCUGUGCUUUGGCUGGGCCCCAGGACAGGGAACCUGAUGGAGGGGACUGGUCUCCUUCCAGGCUGGGCAGACAGACACUCCCCAAGCAGCUCAUUCCGGUCCAGUGCAAACUCAGUUAGAAAGCCCUGUCUGGACGGGAGCUGGCCCUGGUCAGCGGAAGGAGCCCUGGCUCCUUUCUGGGGUUCAGGCAGGAGUGAAAGGGUUGGAAACUGAGCCACAGCUGGCUUGCCUUGUGAGGAACAAGGGUGCGUAGACAGCAGAAUGGAGAAACCAGAGGUUGGCCAAGACUUGUAAUAUUUAGGAUGGAGGGGUGUCUGCAUGUUUUGUGGAAUGCGAUUCACUCAUUUGCGUAUUUAUUGAGCUCAUCCUAAGGAAAUACACGCACCAUUUGCAUCAGACCCUGUCCUGAGACUCCAGUGGAUAAGAGGGUCCUAGCCCUCAUGGAGGCGACCGUCCAGUGGCUGAGCCCAAGUGCGGGACAGUGACAAUGCAGUGCGUGCACUAAAGGCUACAGUGGGGGGAAUUAAGAGGCACACCCAGAUUAGGUGGGGAGGAAGUGUUACCUAACCCGAGUUCAUCAGCUGUGGGGAGAGUGGAGAAGGGGAAGGCAGCUUUCCAGGGAGACCGUAGGUUCUGGAAAUGUACAGUUCAGCACGUCCACCUGCAUGAUGGCUGCUGCAGGAACAGGAGAUGGAGAAACUGCACUGGAGGGAGAAAGCGGGGUGAGCUGAGAAAUACUGCCCAUCCCGGGGGGCUGGGGCUGGGGCGUCCCCUGCUCCUUUGAGCCCACACAGUAGACCCUGCAGGCACGCUGUAGCGGAGGAUGUGGCUCCCGAGUCAGAGCUGCCAUACAGAAUCAAUAUUUACUUUAUCCAGAUCAUGUGUACACAUAGCUGAAAAAUCAAAUGGUGCUAAAAGGCUUGUAACAAAAACAGAAGUCCCUGGGCCUUUCUCCCAACCCUUAUCCAAGUCCCCCGGGGCAACUGCUUUCAACUCUGAGCUGUUUCUUCUGGCAUUUCCUUCCUGAUUUCUAAAUAAUACAUGCACUCCCAUUCUGGACUCAUCUAUCUAGUGUGUUGACUUCUAGUUUGGGUCCUGGAGGAUUCUAAUUCUCGGCUCACCUCUUCCCCUCCUCCAGCCCGUCAUCGUUAAGUCCAUGUCCAGCGAUUUCACCAUCGCAUUUGUAAAUACUGUUUGUUCUGGGGGCAAGUGCUGUGGUUACAUUUUUUUUCCUAAUACGAUUUUUCUCUUGUAUAUUCUGUUUACAUUUCCUUUAUUGAACAACUUCAAAAAAAUUUUUUUCCUGGAGUAAUCGCCUCGCUUUUGUAUAUGCUUGGUUUCCUUUGCAUCUCUGGAUUCCUCUUCCCACACCCUUCCAAGGUUCUGUAAAAGGCCUUUAAGUGCGAUUUUGCAUAUGGCCAAACCUGUCAUAAAAUCUUUUUUUUUUUUUUGGACAGGCAGAGUUAGACAGUGAGAGAGAGAUAGGUAGAGAAAGGUCUUCCUUCCAUUGGUUCACCCCCCAAAUGGCUGCUAUGGCCGGCACACUGCGUUGAUCCGAAGCCAGGGUACUUAUCCUGGUCUCCCAUGCAGGUGCAGGGCCCAAGGACUUGGGCCAUCCUCCACUGCCUUCCUGGGCCACAGCAGAGAGCUGGACUGGAAGAGGAGCAACUGGGACAGAAUCCGGCACCCUGACUGGGACUAGAACCCAGUGUGCCUGCGCCGCAAGGCGGAGAAUUAGCCAAGUGAGCCUCAGUGCCGGCCUGAAAUAAAAUCUUAUGAGUUCCUUUUUUUCUUUUUUCUUUUUUUGCCUCGGAGGCAUGUGUCCUGGGCUGCUCCAUCCUGGCACUGUACCCUGGAUACACUGCACACUGUGCACCUGUCAUUGAGGGCUUCUCAUUCUCAAUAGUCAACAUUUCCCUUUGCCUUUUUCCUGUCUCCUUGAGCCAGUGUUUUCUUCUUUCUUGGUUUACUCCCUUGUUUUGCUGAAGUGCAUUUGCCAGUAGCUCCCUGCGCAAGAAUGUUAGCAGAGAAUGUUCUAGAAGCAUCUGUGGGCUUACAGUGGCUUUAUUCCACCCUCACAUUUGAUUGAUAGUGUUGGCUGGGUAUGGAAUUUUUACUUGAAAUUGCGUCCCUUCAGACUUUUGAAGACUUUGCUCCUUUGUUGGCUGGCUUUUAAUUUUGCCUUUGAGAAGAGUGUGUUCUUCCCAUUUUGGUUCUGAAUUCAUCUCCAUGCCCACUUUCAGGCGUGUUUUCUUUUGUCCCUGAUAAAUUGAAAUGUCACAGUGUAUUGGCAUGGGUCAUUUCUUUAUUCCUUUUUCUGGGCACUUGAUAGGUCCUUUGUAAUUUUUUAAAAAGAUUUAUUUAUUUAUUUGAAAGUCAGAGUUACACAGAAAGGGAGGAGGAGAGGCAGAGAAAGAGAGAGAGAGAGAGAUCUUCCUUCUGCUGGUUCACUCCCCAACGGCUGGAGCUGUGCUUAUCUGAAGCCAGGAGCCUCCUCCAGGUCUCCCAAGCAGGUGCAGGGGCCCAAGGACUUGGGUCAUCUUCUGCUGCUAUCCCAGGCCAUAGCAGAGAGCUGGAUCAGAAAUGGAGCAGCCAGGACUCAAACCAGCACCCAUAUGGGAUGCUAGCACUGAAGAAGGCGCUUUACCUGCUACCUCACCACGCCAGCCCAGUCCUUUGUAAUUUUUUUUUUUUUGACAGGUAGAGUGGACAGUGAGAGAGAGACAGAGAGAAAGGUCUUCCUUUGCUGUUGGUUCACCCUCUAAUGGCUGCCGCGGCUGGUGCACUGUGGCCGGCGCACCGCGCUGAUCCAAUGGCAGGAGCCAGGAGCCAGGUGCUUUUCCUGGUCUCCCAUGGGGUGCAGGGCCCAAGCACUUGGGCCAUCCUCCACUGCACUCCCUGGCCACAGCAGAGAGCUGGCCUGGAAGAGAGGCAACCGGGACAGAAUCCGGUGCCCCGACCGGGACUAGAACCUGGUAUGCUGGCGCCGCAAGGCGGAGGAUUAGCCUAGUGAGCCGCGGCGCCGGCUCCUUUGUAAUUUAAGAUAGUGGUUCUCAAGUGUGGGCCCCAGACCAGUGGCAUUGGUAUCACCUGUGGGCACAUUUUGGGGAUGCAGAUUCGGAGGGUGGGCAUUUGCACUUGAGGCACCUGAACCCCAAAUGGCAGAGCCACAGCAUCUGAGUCCCAGCCCUGCUCCGCACUCCGGCCACCUGCUGACGAACACCUGGGAGGCAGCAGGGGAUGACGGCUCUAGGAGCUGGGGUCCUCACAUCCAUGUGGGAGACCUGGAUUGAGUUUUGGGCUACUGGCUUCAGCCUGGUCCAGCCCUGGCUGUUGUGGGCAUUUGAGGGGUGAGUCAGCAGAUGGGAAAUAUCUUCCUGUGGACCUUUUUUAAAAAAAAAUUCAUUAAAAUUUACAAUCUUUAAAAAAUGCAAAUUCUGGGGUCCCACUUGAUACUUACUCUGGUGCUAAGUCCCAGCAAUCUGCACUUAAACAAGCCCUCCGUGCAGUUGAGACAUCCACGCCUGGGCUUGUGUCCUGGGUCUGCCUCCACUUCUGCUUCUAGCUUCCUGCUAGUGUGCACCAGGAGGGCGAUAGGGAUGGCUCAAGUACCUGAGUCCCCGCCACCCAUGUGGGAGAUUCAGGUUAGCUUCUGGGCUCUUGACUUUGGCUUGUGCCAGCUCCGGAUGUUGCAGGCAUUUGAAGAAUUAAAUAGUUGAUUGAAUAUCUCUGCCUGUCAGUCUUUCUUGGUCUCUCUGCAAAUAAAAUAAAACUAAAAAACAAAACAAAAAACCCCACAGCCUCCAGGCCUUCUGACGUGUGCCAUAGCUUCAGCACCUGUGUCCUAGCAAUGUAUGACCCUUAGUCUGGGAAUUUCUUUGCGAUUUCUCCCCAGCCAUUUUCUCUGUUCAUUCUUUCUGCAGCUCCUAUUGUUUGGAUACUGGGCUCCUUACACUGAUCUUCUAAAAAUUUUUUUAAUCAUUUCUCUUUUAUUAAUCAUUUCUUUGUUCCAUUUUCUGGGAAAUAUCUUCUAUGUUGUAUCCUAAUAACAGAACCAUUUUCUUUCUUUGAUUUCUAAAAUUUUCAAGGUUGCUUUUUAUAGUCUCGGUUUUUCCUUGUUUUUAACAAUUUUUACAUAUUUUUGUAUAUUUGAGGGGUAGAGAGAGAGAGGGAGGGACAGACAGAAAGAAAGAAAGCUCUCAUUUGCUGAUUCAGCCCCCCAAAUGCCUGCAACUGAGCAUCUGUGGGACUUAGCUGGGCUGACCCCAGGAGCUGGGAACUCAGUCCAAGUCUCCCAGGUGGGUGGUAGAAACCCGAUGACCUGAGCCACCACUGCUGCCUCCCAGGGUCUGCACUGGCAGGAAGCUGGAGACAGGAGUCGGAGCUGGAAGCCAAAUGCAGGCACUCUGAGAUGGGACACAGGUGUCUUACUUUAACUAGGUGAAGUGCUCACGCCUCCUUUCUUUUUAAAAGUGGUUUCGUAGUCUCUGGAUGCAGGCCGUGUCUUGCCUCUCUGAGGCUAUUAAUCAGAAAGUUCCCUCUCCCUGCAUUGUCUCUGUUUCUUCUGGUCUCGUGUCUUCUGCACUCGUCAGCUGUCUGGUGAUCUGUGGCUGUGCCCCAUACUUGAGAGGGAGGCACUUGAGAGCCAGUUGGAAGCUCCCAGUGCAGGCUCAUGGUAGGUAGGGCGUUUGGUGGACUGGACUCUUCACUGAGACACCAAUGAUCAGGGUCAAUAGGCCUUUUGCUCUUGCAAUGUUAGAUUUUUCCAGAAUAAGACCCUCUAUCACACCCCCUCGGAAGUCCAGAAUCUGUGUCGUAUCCCAGACCCAUCUUCCUGUCUUCUGCACGAGCAGGGACGAAGCACAGUACAGCUCCCAGCUGUGCUGGGUCUGGCGGGCCCUGAUGGCGUAAUUGCUCUUUAAACAGAUCUCCCAGCCAUUUCCCAGGCCUGAGCCCCCGCCUCUGACUUAAUUGCUACUUCCAGUUGCUGAGCUUUUCUGGGCUGUGGGAGAAGAAUCAGCUCACUCCUGUAGGAAUGUGCCCUGGGGUGCUUCUGUCUCCCCUUUCCAGGUCGCGGGUCAUGUUCCACCACUGACCCCGGUGAGAGGGGUCAGGAUUCUUUUUUUUUUUUUUAAUAUUAAUUUUACUUAAUUGAAAGACAGAGUUAUAGACAGAGAGGGGGAGAGAGAGAGAGAGAGAGAGAGAGAGAGAGAGAGAGAGAGAGGUCCUGCAUCUGCUGGUUCAAUCCCCAAAUGGCUGCCAUGGCCAGAGCUGAGCCAAUCCAAAGCCAGCAGCCAGGAGCUUCUUCCAGGUCUCCCAGCUGGGCGCAGGGGCCCAAGACUCAGGCCACCUUCUACUGCUUUCCCAGGCCAUAGUAACAAGCUGGAUCGGAAAAGAAGCAGCCAGGACUCGAACCAGUGCCCAUAUGGGAUGCUGGCGCUGCAGGCCAGGGCUUUAACCCACCGUGCCACAGCGCCGGCCCCAGGGGUCAGGAUUCUAGAUGGACCCCGAGUGUAGGUAAAGAUGGAAUUUGGGUUUGGUUUCUUAUUUUCCUUGUUGUUUGGAGGAUGCUUUUUGAGAAAGAAGUGUGGGGGAUUUAUGCCACCAUCUUGUGACCCCAAGUCAGAGCUGCGUCUGGGAGGUAGAAAUACUGAUGCCUCUGUCAGACUCCCUUGCUCCUGCUGUUAGGAGGAAGGGGGAGGGAGCAGAACUUCUGGAGCUUAGAGAAGCCACUGCGGGGGGCUGGCAUUUGGUUGAGCUGUCAAGCCCUCCACCCAGACACCUGCAUCCCACAUCAGAGAACUAGUCUGGUCCCCGGCUCUGACUCCUGGGACUGCAUCUUCCUGCCAGUGCAGAACCUGGGAGGCAGCAGUGAGAGCGCAAGUCAUCGGGCUCACGCCAACUACGUGGGAGACCUGGACCGAGUUCAUGGCUCCCCUGUGGGCAUCUGGGGAGUGAACCAGCAGAUGGGUGUGCUCAUUCGCGGGAUCUCUCCCCCCGCACCCCAUCUCUAAACUAAAUGCAUAAAUUUGGAGGUCCCCCAAAGAAGGAAAGGAUAACUGGGCCUGAGAGACGCCUGUGAGGGGAGACAGUGAGAUACAGUGGUGCCAGCGGCAGCAGGGAGAGUGGGAGGGAAUGGGAUGUUUCGGAGGCAGAGGGAGGGGCAGUGAAGUAUCGGGCUUUGGAGCAGGCCUUUCACCUUGAGGCAGAAGAUGAUCAGACAGUAAGGUUGCUGAUCAGAUGUGCCUUCCGUGCAGGCACUGCAGGCUUGGGCGUGUGGGGAGCUAGGAGAAAGAAGGAAAGGCCUGCUGGUCAGAGACAGGAGGCCUUGAGCCAUCACUCAGUACCUCCUAGGGUGCAUGUUAACCAGAAGCUGCAGUCAGAAGUGGAGCCAGGACCUGAACUCAGCACUUCCACAUUCCAAACUGCUUCUUAACCAAUGCCCAAACCAGAGCCGGUCAUCUAGGUGAGCAGCUGUUUUGGCACCAAGCAAAGGUAAAAUUUUAACAAGGGAAGGGGGGGGGGUGCUGGUGGCACAGAAAGUUAAACCGCUACAGGCGACACUGGCCCUAGCAGCCGCUGUGGCCAUCUGCAAAGUGAACCAGUCAUGGAAUCUCUCUCUGUCUCUCCUCUCUCUUUCACUCUGCCUUUCAAGUAAAUAAAUAAAUCUUUAAAGCAAAUAAAUAAAUAAAAAGGGAGGAUGGUUCCUUUAGCCCAGGUCAAUAUUUCCUGAACCGACCUCCAGAUUAUACAGAAUCACUGUUCAGUCACCUGGAAUAUGAAAUGCACAGUUUGGCGCCCAAUAACCCAGCUCUCAAAACCUCACCUGCUGUCCCCGAGGUCCGUGGGCUGUUUCACGUCUGCCUCUGUAUGGCUAUUUUACUGUGGGAUGUGUGCUGUCGUGCCCUGCUCUGGCCGUGCACGACAGGAGUGGCUGCCGCAGAGUGUGUGUGGAUCAGCCAGGGGUCCGUGGUUAUAGGCCACAGAAACCACCUCUGGCUACCUAAGCACAGAGGCAAUUUAUUGGAACGUUAUUGGGCCACUCACGGAUUCAAUGGCUGCUUUCUACAAUUUUCCAUGCUGGUAAAGCCUUGGUUUCAUUCUGGAAUUUACCCACCCUGUACUUCAGGAAGCAGACCCUCUCCUCAGCCAGGGGGCCCCGUGGUGCUGCGUCUCAGCCUGCCAGGGUGCUUCUUGGCUCCUUGCCAGUGACUGGUUAGGUAUAGGCGUGUGACGCACCCUGGAAGAAGCCUGCCCAGGCCAGGGAAUCUGGACUCACAGGGGAGCUGAUUUGGAGCUCUGAUUUUGGCAUAUAUGCUGCCAAAGCCAGCACAGCUCUGAUUUUACUGAAGGCAGAGUUAAGCCCCUCUGCCUCUGAAAAGUGAUAGACUCGCUUAUUGUUUAAACUGCUUUGCCAAGAACUGGCGUUGUGCUGUAGCAUAUGGGUGCUGGUUCAUGUCCCGGCUGCUCCACUUCGAAUCCAGCUCCCUGCUAAUGGCCUGGGAAAAGUAGCAGAAGGUGGCCCAAGUACUUGGGUCCCUGUACCCAUGUGGGAGACCCGGAUGAAACUCCUGGCUCCUGGCCUCGGCUUAGUUCAGCCCUGGCUGUUGUGGCCAUCUGGGGAGUGAACCAGAUGAAAGAUCUCUCUUUCUGUUUCUCCCUCUCUCUUCAUAACACUUUCAAAUGAACAAAUAAAUCUUGAAAAACAACAAAAACCAUUUUGCCUUGAUCUUCCGUGCUCUCAAUGGAAAAGUUCUAACUGCCACAUCAAAGAUAUCUGUGGCUGGCGCCGUGGCUCAAUAGGCUAAUCCUCCGCCUUGCGGCGCCGGCACACCGGGUUCUAGUCCCGGUCAGGGCGCCAGAUUCUGUCCUGGUUACCCCCCUUCCAGGCCAGCUCUCUGCUAUGGCCCGGGAGUGCAGUGGAGGAUGGCC